rnacentral:rRNA from 1 species
GGAGAGUUGAUCCUGGCUCAGGGACGAACGCUGGCGGCGUGCUUAACACAUGCAAGUCGAACGUAAGCCCCUUCGGGGUACCGAGUGGCGAACGGGUGAUGAGUAAACACGUGGGUGAUCUGCCCUGCAUCUGGGAUAAGCCUGGGAACUGGGUCUAAUACCGGAUAUGAGCUCCGUCGCAUGGCGGGGUUGGAAAGGUUUACUGGUGCAGGAUGGGCCCGCGGCCUAUCAGCUUGUUGGUGGGGUAAUGGCCUACCAAGGCGACGACGGGUAGCCGGCCUGAGAGGGCGACCGGCCACACUGGGACUGAGACACGGCCCAGACUCCUACGGGAGGCAGCAGUGGGGAAUAUUGCACAAUGGGCGAAAGCCUGAUGCAGCGACGCCGCGUGAGGGAUGACGGCCUUCGGGUUGUAAACCUCUUUCAGAGGGACGAAGCGAGAGUGGAGGACUGGUACCUGCAGAAAGAAGCACCGGCCAACUACGUGCCAGCAGCCCGGGUAAUACGUAGGGUGCGAGCGUUGUCCGGAAUUACUGGGCGUAAAGAGCUCGUAGGCGGUUUGUCGCGUCGUCCGUGAAAACUGGGGCUCAACCCCAAGCUUGCGGGCGAUA